rnacentral:misc_RNA from 1 species
GUAAUAGUUCACUUCAUUUAAGUGGCUUAGGUCAUCUAAAGUCUAUAAGUAUAUACUAGUGUGAGGGUGGUGCGGCGUACCGAGGGGAAGGGUAGAAGCUGGUGGUGAUAAGGGAAAGAAUCGGAAAUUGAAAGAGAAAUGAGAGGAUUCGCUGCUCUUCAAGUGUUCUUGGUGUUUUUAAUAGUUUCCACCGCCAGAAAUAGUUGCAGAGCUGCUUUUCUUCAGAAAAGCAACACCACUUUCGGGU